UGGGGAAUCUUGCACAAUGGAGGAAACUCUGAUGCAGCGACGCCGCGUGAGCGAUGAAGCCCUUCGGGGUGUAAAGCUCUUUCGACGGGAACGAUAAUGACGCUACCCGGAGAAGAAGCUGCGGCUAACUACGUGCCAGCAGCCGCGGUAAUACGUAGGCAGCAAACGUUGUUCGGAAUUACUGGGCGUAAAGAGUGUGUGGGCGGUUUUGCAAGUUUGGUGUGAAAUCUCCCGGCUUAACUGGGAGGGUGCGCCGAAAACUGCAAGGCUCGAGUACUGGAGAGGAAAGCGGAAUUCCUGGUGUAGCGGUGAAAUGCGUAGAUAUCAGGAGGAACACCGGUGGUGUAGACGGCUUUCUGGACAGUCACUGACGCUGAGACACGAAAGCGUGGGGAGCAAACA
rnacentral:rRNA from 1 species